ensembl:lncRNA
CAAGAGGCGGAGGGAGAGAAGGAUGAGUGGAUAUCAGCGCUGACUGAGAAGCCUUCGUUUUCUGUCAUUCCUCCGCCGUCCCGGGAAGCUCCUUCUCCUUUCUCUCUUUUCCUGCCUUUCUCCAUUUCUUCUCUGCCUCCCUCCGGACCAGAGCCUGACUGCGAAGCGUCCUCCAAGAGGCCCGCCCCUGCAGCCCGACUCGGGGGGAACCCACCAGCUCGCCACAUCGCGAUGGGCUGCGCAACGGGCCACCUGGCUUGCCAGCCGCAGGCCAACGCGGGGCCGGAGGGUCACUCGUUGGAGGCGGGCGGGGCCAAAGUGCCUGAGGUGCUCUCCUCUCUGGAGCGACUGUCCCAGGCCACCGGUGGCAUGGAGAAGUCCUGGUACCGCUGCAUCUUUCCCUUCGGAAUCAUCUCCCUGGUGAUCGGUGUGGCGGGGACCGGGGUGACCUACACCUACAACGACCUGCCUCAGACUAAAGUGGUGUCAGUGGUUCUGCUGGUCAUGGGCCUUUUGCUGAUGCUGAUGGCCACUGCCUGUUGGAUUGUCCACAAGAGGAAGAGGAGGAAAAAGAAAGAGGGGGGCUCGUUCACUUCCGAGCAGUCUCCCCUGUGAAGCACGUGGGGAAAUCAGCGGCGGGAACUCGAAAGUAGAGACAUGGCCACUGCCGGGAGAUCAAGGGGUUGGCUAAAGCAGCCGCAACUUUUCCCUUCUCUCAGCGCAUAAAUCCCCUCUAUUCUUUAGCACCAUUUGGCUCCGCUAAUACCGGAAGGAACCAAAGUGGAGAAAUCAUAGAGAGUGGAAGGACAGAUAGGCAGGAAGUAUCUGUUUCGCCUGUAAAAUUUUGGAUCGACGAGGAGCGAUCGCCAAUGCCUCACACGCUCUUUUAUCGUCAGACAGCCGGUGUCCGGUGUCAAAACAACCUCCGAGGAGACACACACACACACAAAUAUGCAUCGCACACCGCAUGCAUAUUUACGCUCACGGAUGCACGGCCCUCGCGGUCCGCGCUCACAUAUGCAACCAGCGGUCAAAGUGGGAGCUCUGAGCAGGACACCCAACCCGCUAUGCAGAGCUGCUGCCGGAUUCAAUGCUGGCGUCACUAGGCACGUCAGUCACAGCAUUCCUCCUGCCAGGACAGGUGACUCUCCAAGAGGCCAGAAGUGGGCCAAAGACGGUAACCCAAUACCUGGGCCGAAAGAGCAGCGCGCCCCGCGUCAGCGGCCAGCGUCAUUCACUCGUCCUGUGACACCGCAGCAAUGUGUUGGGAGCUUUUUUUACGCAACGGGAGAGUGGAACUUGAGUCCUGCAGGAUCCUGGUGGCAUCUGUGUGAACGAUGAGCCGGAGAGAGGCCGGAGGAUCCGAUCGCCCGGCGGAGGGAAAGGUGUUUGCGUGUGCUUGAAUAAAGAUUUGGGUGAACUGAAAGUCCGUUGGACCCUUGCACUUGGACACUACUGGACACACAAACGAUUUCCACAUGUAGCCGUGUCCACGCCAAGCGAGAGGAACUCCUAGUGGAGCGGCGCGCUCCGAAAGGCCUUUCGUAGCUUCCCGCUGCAAAGGGGGCCACUGACUGACACAUUUCCCCCCGGGCCCCCAGUGUCUUCGUGGGGCUCCUCGACCCCACGCAGGACAGUCCAGGAUUACUGAAGGACACUACCCGAGGGGACAUGCCACUGUAGGGACACUUUAACUGAUCCCGCUCCCCUCGGGCCCCUCCCUCUUGGUGCCUUGAGCAAGCACUCAUGGAAAAAGGCUCUGUUGCAUUCCACCGUUUCCAUCUGAACCUCUGAGAAUUUCCCCCCCUUGUUCUCUCUCUCUCUCUCUCUCUCUCUCUCUCUCUCUCUCUUCACCCCGACAGGACUCUCCUCAUUCAUCACACAUGCCGUCCUCUGUCCUAAAUCCACCGUUUAUGACUUGAUUCCCCUCAUUUCACCAUUGUUAUAUAGUCCAGCCACACACACUUAAAUGUAAUGCUCAAGUCCCACAAACAUUUGUCUUUAUUACUCCUCGCCAAAGAAAAUGGGAUCAUUUUGCUCUCAAUGGUGGAAAGUAUUGAAAAUAUGGUAAAAUCACCGCUUGUGGUCAAAAUGUUUCUGGGGUUUCCGUUUCGCCACAGAGAGUAAGCUGUAAAUAGGUGCUUUCGGUUUGCGUGGUCUCACGGGAUGAGACCAUUUUAGUCUCGUCUUAAAUAUUCUCGUCACUGAAUGUAACACAGGACAGAAAAUACAGAUAGAGGAAGGCAAAAUAACAGAAUGUAUAGAAAACAAAUGGAGUCUAAGCCCAUUUGCCUUUACCCUUGAGAACCACUUUUGAUCACCGCUUCAUUGAUUCACGCUGCCGGAUUUUACGUUCUUUCUUAGCUCAGUGCAGUGAAGAGCGUUGUGCUUGCGUACUCGUACUUGCUGACUUUCAAGCUACAUCGUGACGGUGAGUUGGCACUAUAAUAUUAAUGCCUGGUGACCAGAAUUUGUGUGUUUAGAGAUGUGAAGUGAUUUCCCUUCUGCCUUUUGAAAAACUAAAGGGAAGGUCUACCUCUCUGCUGCGGGGGACGUACUCCCCUCAGCCAGCCGACCGCCUCGCUGUCUGCGCACGCCGGUUGUGGCUGGCGAGUGACGAGAAGUUUGUGUGCCCUCUAAUAUUUGGUGCUGUAUAUAUGACAAUUUUAUAUUUCUACUGUAUAUUUUUACUCAUAUGUACAGUUUAUUCGUUGUAUUAAAAUGAAUGUUACCCAAGCA